CCCCAAGUCUGGGUGCCUGCACCCCUGAGGCCCUUUGCCUGACAGAAAGGGAGGCUGAAGGCCUGUAGCUGACACCAGCACCAGUGGUGGGGCCAUUGCAUAAGAGCAGCCAGGCUGCAGGUUUCUGAUGACUCAGCACUGUGGCCUGCACAGGACUUCUGUGGGGCUGGACUCAGGACAGGGCUCCUCAGAAUCAAGGCACAGGAGGCCCAAGGAGCCCAGCUUACCUGGGGACCCUACACCGUAGCCCUGACACACUAUGAAGGGGACACACUUCCUGGGCCCCUCCUGGCUGCCCCAGGUGUGGCUUCGCAGAGCACCUGGGCCUGAGGGCAGGUGCCUGGGCCUGGGUAGGGGUUCCUGCCUGGUGUGGGGCCAGGAGAGCCACCUUGCCUUCAAGAGCCCAUUGCUGAGGCUGCAGAUUCCUCGAGCAGACUUGUGGCCUGGGAGGAGAGAGGGCUGGUGGGCAGGGAAGGGACCCCGAGGGCCAGCCUGGGCCUGGGGGGUCAGCUUGGCAGUUCCUUUUCCAAACCACUAGAUGUCACUUCCAUUUCAAAGGAACCCAUGGGUUGGAAUUAGCCCCAGUCAGGUCCCCUCAUCCUUCUCCAAGUCUUAAAGACAGACAGGCCAAAGAGAAAACUCCACUUUCCCUUGAGGACUGAGACACUGAAAACCUGGCUAGGAGCUGCCUCCAAGCCUGAGCUGAAGCUUCCAGGAAGUCCAUAACACCCCACCCCACCUCUGCAAAGGGCCAGAAGGGGCAGAACUCCCAUCUCCCCAUCCCCCAGUGACCCUAUGUUAUUAUGGGGAUAUUUUCUGAAACCAAAAAUGAAACGCAUGGUCAAACUAAUAUGAUGUAUUUAGGGGGACAAUACUUAAAACAGCAGAUGCAUACCCCCAAAGGUCCUCCUCAGGGCCAAGAGAUUCCAGGUUCAGCAGGGGCCAUGUUGCCCAUCCCCCUAGCUUCAGAUGCCGUCAGAAACUUCUGGGGAGGGGAGACCUAAAGGGAGGUUCUCGAGACUGUGCUUUUCUCCACCCACAUCCACAAUAUUCAGUCAACAUCUCUUGGUUGGCAGUGCCAAUUAUUACAACUUACAAAGCAUUUUAUUCCACUUAAGUCUCCAACAACCUCCAUGAGGGUCUCUGGUCCUGAGGGACACCAUGGAUACUGUGAUCCAGCAAGACCAAAAGGAGCUUAGCACCUAGUCAUUCAUUGGAGCCUGCCAUCUUGUGAUUCUUCCAUGCCAAGAGGACAGGCCUGGAAGAAUGACACGGUCUUUAGUGGAGGAGGUUAAACCCCAGGAAAACUUCCACACUGGUGUGAGGUCCCAGGGACCUGGCUACUUACAUCCUGGGAGAGUGCUCUAAACUGAUACACCCAAGGCCCCACCCCACCCAUCCAGAGGCAAGGAUAAGCCAAUGUGGCUUUUCCAGGAGUCUUCAGAUUUGGAGAUGACUUGGGUGGGUCCUACCACAGUUAGAGCCUCUCCCGCGGUCAGUUGUCCACAGGUGAAAGCAAAUCAGUUCAGUAGCAUGGGCCCUGCCCGGACAGCUGGGCCCUGGGAAGUCCUUUACACCCCGACAGAACACCGCAUCCAUCGGCCCCAGCCAGCCACCUUGAAAAUAAAACAGAGCCAAAUUAGAACUAGAGUAAAAUACAAUUUUUCACCCAUCAGAUUAGCAAACAUCAAAACAACAACAACAAUUGAUAGCACGCUUUGUUGGUCAGGCUGUGGGGAAAUUGUCACUCUUCCCAUUGCUGGUAGAGGUUUAAUUGUUACAGUCUCUGUGGAGAAUAAUUGGCAAUAAGUAUCAAGAUUACAAGCACAUAUACCCUUUGACCAACAAUUCCAGGUCUGGGAACUGUUGCUGCAGAGAUCUGUACUGCGAAAUGACGCCUAUACGAGAUUAUUCACUGCAGCAUUG
ensembl:lncRNA